rnacentral:rRNA from 1 species
GAUGAACGCUGGCGGCGUGCCUAAUACAUGCAAGUCGAACGCACAGCGAAAGGUGCUUGCACCUUUCAAGUGAGUGGCGAACGGUUGAGUAACACGUGGACAACCUGCCUCAAGGCUGGGGAUAACAUUUGGAAACAGAUGCUAAUACCGAAUAAAACUUAGUGUCGCAUGACACAAAGUUAAAAGGCGCUUCGGCGUCACCUAGAGAUGGAUCCGCGGUGCAUUAGUUAGUUGGUGGGGUAAAGGCCUACCAAGACAAUGAUGCAUAGCCGAGUUGAGAGACUGAUCGGCCACAUUGGGACUGAGACACGGCCCAAACUCCUACGGGAGGCUGCAGUAGGGAAUCUUCCACAAUGGGCGAAAGCCUGAUGGAGCAACGCCGCGUGUGUGAUGAAGGCUUUCGGGUCGUAAAGCACUGUUGUAUGGGAAGAACAGCUAGAAUAGGAAAUGAUUUUAGUUUGACGGUACCAUACCAGAAAGGGACGGCUAAAUACGUG